GACGAAGGAUGCAAGCGUUAUCCGGAUUCAUUGGGUUUAAAGGGAGCGUAGGUGGCCUUGUAAGUCAGUGGUGAAAUCUGACAGCUUAACUGUUAAAUUGCCAUUGAUACUGCAAGGCUUGAGUACAGAUGCCGUUUGCGGAAUAUGACAUGUAGUGGUGAAAUACAUAGAUAUGACAUAGAACACCCAUUGCGAAGGCAGCUCGCUACACUAUUAUUGACACUGAGGCACGAAAGCGUGGGGAUCAAACAGG
rnacentral:rRNA from 1 species